UACGGAGGGUGCGAGCGUUGUCCGGAAUCAUUGGGCGUAAAGGGCGCGUAGGUGGCCCGGUCAGUCUUUGGCGAAAGCGCGGGGCUCAACCCUGCGUCGGCCAGGGAUACUGCCGCGGCUCGAGCACUGUAGAGGCAGGCGGAAUUCCGGGUGUAGCGGUGGAAUGCGUAGAGAUCCGGAAGAACACCGGUGGCGAAGGCGGCCUGCUGGGCAGUUUUGCUGACACUGAGGCGCGACAGCGUGGGGAGCAAACAGG
rnacentral:rRNA from 1 species